rnacentral:rRNA from 1 species
UACGGAGGGUGCAAGCGUUAUCCGGAUUCACUGGGUUUAAAGGGUGCGUAGGCGGGUAUGUAAGUCAGUGGUGAAAUCCUGGAGCUUAACUCCAGAACUGCCAUUGAUACUAUAUAUCUUGAAUAUUGUGGAGGUUUGCGGAAUAUGUCAUGUAGCGGUGAAAUGCUUAGAUAUGACAUAGAACACCUAUUGCGAAAGCAGCAGGCUACACAUAUAUUGACGCUGAGGCACGAAAGCGUGGGGAUCAAACAGG